AACGAACGCUGGCGGCGCGCCUAAUACAUGCAAGUCGAGCGAGAAGACGUAGCAAUACGUUUGUAAAGCGGCGAACGGGUGAGGAAUACAUGGGUAACCUACCCUCGAGUGGGGAAUAACUAGCCGAAAAGUUAGCUAAUACCGCGUACGCUCCUUGGACUUCGGUUCAGGGAGGAAAGCGAUACCGUGGGUAUCGCGCUCUUGGAUGGGCUCAUGUCCUAUCAGCUUGUUGGUGAGGUAACGGCUCACCAAGGCUUCGACGGGUAGCUGGUCUGAGAGGACAAUCAGCCACACUGGCACUGCGACACGGGCCAGACUCCUACGGGAGGCAGCAGUAAGGAAUAUUGCGCAAUGGGCGAAAGCCUGACGCAGCGACGCCGCGUGGGGGA
rnacentral:rRNA from 1 species